GUUCCCGUGGUGUAGUGGUUAUCACGUGCGCCUCACACGCGCAAGGUCCCCGGUUCAAUCCCGGGCGGGAACA
rnacentral:tRNA from 1 species